AUACUUACCUGGCAGGGGAGACACCGUGAUCAGGCAGGUGGUUCUCCCAGGGCGAGGCUCUUCCAUUGCACUGCGAAGUGCUGACCCCUGGGAUUUCCCCAAAUGUGGGAAACUCAACUGCAGAAUUUGUGGUAGUGGGGGACUGUGUGCGCGCUCUCCCCUG
ensembl:snRNA U1 U1 spliceosomal RNA